UACAGAGGUGGCAAGCGUUGUUCGGAAUUACUGGGCGUAAAGGGCGCGUAGGCGGUUCGUUAAGUCCUGUGUGAAAUCCCCCGGCUCAACUGGGGAACUGCACAGGAAACUAGCGGGCUUGAGUUCGGGAGAGGGAAGCGGAAUUCCGGGUGUAGCGGUGAAAUGCGUAGAUAUCCGGAGGAACACCGGUGACGAAGGCGGCUUCCUGGACCGACACUGACGCUGAGGCGCGAAAGCUAGGGGAGCAAACGGG
rnacentral:rRNA from 1 species